UAAGUACUGUGCUAGGAUAUAAUAGUGAACAGACAAGUAAAGUCAGUGAUUACUGGGUGAUGGAUGGGUGCUGUGGAAGAAGUUCAUGCACAGGGUGGAAACCACAGACGAUUCUACUUCCAGUUAGAGACGGGAGGAGAGAACGGGAGCUAGAAGGUGUGAGUAAGGCUGGAGAUGUGGGUACAGACUGAUCAGAUUUCCUGGUAGCAAUAAGAGCAUAUAACAUCAUAAAACAGGGGAUUUCACUGCCCUGAAUCACUGCCAAACAGGGAAACUAAGGCUGAGAGGUGAUUUGAUCAAGGUCAUACAGCAAGUGGUGGAAGGACGACUAGAAUCCAGGAUUUGCAUAUCAGAGAGCAAAACCGAGAAAAGUCAGAGGGUAUACUCUGCCUCCAGCAUGGGUGCUCACUCAUCUCAUGUUUAGAGCCUGGCAUGGAUUCUGGUACAUGGAAGAUCACACAAUUCCAACUGCUGUUCACAGUAGGAGAUGCUUGCUCUGUAGCAUAGAAAGAAAAGAAAAUGUCCUUUGGCAUUGAAAGCGUUAGAUGGGCAGGGUAAAAAGGAGGACAAGAAUGAAUACUUGGGUAUAAUCUGCUCUUGCUGUUGGGUAAGGCAGUUCCUCUCUGAUGCCCUGCUCUCAGCAUUUGUAUUCUCUGGCAGCUCUUCAGAUGAGGAAGCUGAGACACAAUCACGGAAGAGCAAGAUUUAAAAGCCGGCAGUCUGACUCCUGAUCUCUCACUCAUCCACUACUGUAGACAGCCUUCUCUGUGUUUCAUUAGCACAUAACAAGAAUUCAUGCUCUCGGAGUACAAAGCAGGGUUUGUAAUAUCAAUAAAAGAGACACUUUCAUAGUGUUUUAGCUGAGUCUUGAGGAGAAAAGUAGAGUUUUAGUGAAGGAAGAAAGAAAGGCACUACAUGCUGAUUGUAUGUUUGAAGGCGCUGCUGUUAAGAGGUGAAGAUGCUGUUGUGGAAGAUGAAUCUGGGAUGGACUAAGGAUGGAACACUAACAUUUAAAGAAUGGAGGAAGAAAAGCAGUUGUGGAGAGUGAGAAAGACUAGAGAUAAAGCAGAAAAAAUCCUAGAGGGUUUAGUAUCAUGACCAGGAACUAGGCAUUUCAAAAAGGAAGAAACGAUCAACAGUGAUGAAUGAGAAGAGCUGGAAGGAAUGUAGAUGGAGAAAAGCCUAGAGAUUUGUUACCUAGGACACUAGUAAUGACCUCAGAGAAUGCAGAAUGGUAGAGGUGGAAGCAAAACUCAGAGGAUUAUUGAAAAAAAUGAGAAAAGUAGAAAAGUGGAAGCAGGAAGUGCAGACAUUUCCUAUACCAAUGUAGACAUAUUUGUGUUUAUAUACAUACACAUAUUCAUGUGUAUUCCUAGUUUCAAUAAUGCACAAUGUUGAGGUUAACCUUAAAAAAAGAUUAAUUUAGCAAAAGAUAGAAAAGCAGAUCUGAAAAAAGAAUGUAUUCCUUGCCAUUAUAGACUAUGCUUAAUAAGUAAUACUUAGUUUAGUAGAUUGUAGCUUGUGACAACAUGAGAAGUGCAUCCAGUAGAUUCAUAGUAGUUCUUACUGGGGUACCUGCUUAUAUUGUUGCUAGCAAACUAUUUGGGCAUGUUAUUUUUUGUAUCUGGACUAGUUCCUUAUCUGCCAAGAACUAAAUGAUUAAGUCCCAUCUAACAUUUUAGGAUGCUCUGAUCUCCUUUUGACUUAUAGAAAUCACCAAAGUUAGACAGCUAAUGACCACUCUUUUUAAUAUUUCCUCCUUCAUGACAUGGGAAAUGAUUUUUAACGCCACUUUAGCCCAAUAAUUCAGACAUCUCACAUUGUAUAUGCACGUGUGUGUUCAUUUCAGUGCUAUUCACAACAGCAAAAACACAGAAAAAACUUAGGUGCCCCUCAGUGGUGGACUGGAUAAAGAAAAUGUGGCACCUGUACACCAUGGCAUACUAUGCAGCCAUAAAAAAGAAUGAAAUCAUGCCCUUUGCAGCAACAUGGAUGCAGCUGGAAGCCAUUAUCCUAAGUGAACUAACUCAGAAAAUCAAAUACUGCAUAUUCUCACUUUUAAGUGGGAGAUAAACAUUGGGUACUCAUGGAUAUAAAGUUAAAAACAAUAGACACUGGGUUCUAGUAGAGGGUGGAGGGUGGGAGACCAGUAACGGUCGAAAAACUACCUGUUGGGUAUUAUGCUUAUUACUUGGGUGACAGGAUCAUCUAUAUACCCCAAACCUCAGCAUCACACAAUAUACUCAUGUAAUAAACCUGCACUUGUACCCCCCCGAAUCUAAAAGUCAAAAUUAUGUUUUAAAAAAGAAAAUAUCUCAGAGUCUUGUCUUCUAGAUUUUCUUCAUUUCAACAGUUUGCCUUCUAUUCUUUUUCAGUUGCUUAGAUUUAAACUUCCUCAGAGUCUCAGUGAAAAGGACGAGUUUAUUCAGCUGGAAGAAUUGAACCUUGAAAGUAUACCCUUUAACCUUAAGUUUUAAAACACUGGGUUACAAAUAAGAAUAUAAAGUUUUAUUCAUCUCUAAACAUACUAGCAAAGCAACUGAUCUUUUAAACAGAAAAUUAUCAAUCACUAAGGACGCUACCAAAAAUAGAAAUAUUUAAACAUUGUAAUCAGACACCUCUAGUGAUUUGUGAAUAUCUGGAAGUCCUACUGAACCAUCAGCUAUUUGACAUUAUGUAGAGUUAGCUUGAGUCUAGGUGACUUGUUCCUUGGAAAGGCUUAGUUAGCACGGACCUGAAGUACUUCUAGUAUGAAUUCUAUCCUAAUGUCUUUAAGAGCAUUGGGUGGAAAAGAGAUGUACCAACACACACAAUGUUCUGCACAUGGAGUCAUUAAUGAAUAAAUUGGCUGAAGCACCUAGAAAGGUUUCAAAAUGCCCAAUAUCAUCUUACUCAAGGAAAUUUGUUUCCUCGAUGGAAAGCAUGCCAAAAACAAAAAACAAAAACAAACAAACAAAAAAACUAGUAGAACAAACAAGUGGAGAAAAUAGAAAAGCGGAGAAUAGCAGAAACCUUGAGUCCCUUUAUGUUCCUUAAAAAGUUUUUGAUUAUUUUUGUUUUAAUCCAUUCAGCAAGUAUUUAUGGAGUGCCAUCUGUAUGCUAUGAUAAGCUCUAGGGUUACAUUAAUAGAUAAAACAGCCCCCUACCCCUAUCAAAAAAAAAUCCCUACUCUCAUUAGCUUCUUUUAAAUUUAUACCAUUGUUUAAUGGGAAUGAGCCCAGUUGAAUUUUUUCAGUAACAUAUUUUAAAAUAAGCUUUAUUUUCAAAAACAAUUUUAGAUUUACAAAAAAAUUGAAAAGAUAGUUCAGAGAGUUCUCAUCCACUCCACAUAGUUUUCCCUAUUGUUAUCUUUCAUUAGGAUAUAUUUGCCACAAUUAAUGUGUCAAUAUUGAUACAUUAUUUUUAACUAACACCUAUAGUUUAUUUAUAUUUUUUAUAUUUUUCAUUUGUGUCUUUUUUCUGUUCCAGGCUACCAGCCAAUCCAGAAUACCACAUUACAUUUAGUAAUCAGGUUUCUAUCACUUCUUAGGCACUUUAUACAAGUCAUUUCAUUUAGUCCUAACGAGAACCCUGUAAGACCACGAAACAAAAUUAAAGGCCCCUCAAAGUAAUGCAGAUGUCAGUGGAUGCAAUAACACAGUUGGUGUCCUGGUUGCCUUUCAG
rnacentral:lncRNA from 10 species